rnacentral:lncRNA from 1 species
AUUGUUCUAUGUCAUGGAAUUCCAUGCAUGACAAGGUUCCAGACAUAACUAUGGUCCUGUAAUGCUGAUAGUGAGUCUGCAAUAUUCCUCUUGCUCAGUACAUUUACUGUACCUUUUAUGUCAUUACAUGUUUUCAUACACACAAAUGCCAUUUUGCCACAUCUGCAAACCUUACUUAGUACAUGCUACAUGUAAGAUACAGAGUCUAUAGCAUACAGGGGCAUCAUAGGUUCUACUAUCUAUGUUUUUGCAAGCUUACUCAGUGAUAGUCACACCAUCACAGAUUAAAUAAUGAUGCAUUUCUCAGGAUGCAUCAUAGUGAUGAUGUUGUAACAAACACAGUAAACUUUUGUAGCUUUCUUCCUAAUCAGUGAUAGGAAGAAGAAAUAUUAUUGAUAAUUUCCUUACAUUGGGCUCAUUAAUGAUGUAUUAUUUAGUUUUCUAUUAUUGUGCUGAAUACCACAGCUACAAGCAAUUUAUAGAGGAAAGAAUUCAUUUCUUUUUGCAGCUCACAGGCCAUCUGCAGGGAAGUCAGGACAGGAACUCAGGGCAGGAACCUGGACACAGGAACUAAAGGAGAAGCCAGGGAGAAACGCUACUAACUGACUUAUUCUCUAACACUGGCUCGGCUUGCUUUCUUAUAACACCCAGGACCAACUGUCAAGUUGUAUAAUUGUUCAUGGUGGUCUAGCUCCUCUUGUCAAUUAUUAAUCAAGGAAGUACCCUAUAAACUUGCCUACCCAAAAUCUGAUGGAGACAUUUUGUCAAAUGAGAUUCUCAAGUCUUGUGUCAAAAAGAGCAAAACUAACCAGAAAACCCUGUGUGUAAUUCACAAGCAAAUAUUGACAUUUUAAAUAUUGACAUUUAUUUACUUAUUUGUGUGUGUGUGUGUAUGUGUGUGUAUAUGUAUGUGUGUGUAUGUGGGUAUUAUGACUAGUUACAUGCACACAGCAUUGCAUGUGUGGAGAUCACAGGAUAAUUUGUAGGAGUCUGUUUUUGUCGUCCAUCUUGUGGAUCCUAGGGAUUAAACUUAAGUCAUCAAACAGGCAAUCAGAUGCACUGAGUUAUUUUAUGGGUCCUAAGCUAUUUAUUUUUGUUUAUGUCUAUGUGUGUAUUUCUCUAUGUGUGGGUCCCAUGUGUGGGUGUGCCUGUGGAGGUCAGAAGGUGUUAGAUGCCUAGAAACUAAGAUGACAGGCAGUUGUAUGCCAACUGAUAUGGGAGCUGGCAUCAGAUCUAGAAGAGCAACAACUGAUUUUUUUUUGUAGCCCUCAAAAUUGAUUUUUAUAGUGCGAUCAUUUUCAGGGUUAACAGAAACAUAUAGAAAAUAGUAAUAAUAAUAAAACACAUUAGAGGUAAUAUAGAUUACAAUUCAGCUUUGUCUACUGCAUUAAGCAAGGGAAGUAAACUAACCAGAAAAUGCUUACAAUACUGAUGGUCAAGCCCAGUUCCCCGACCACGAUCCAUGCUCCACCGCUGAACUCUACUCCUUGCUCUCCAAUUAGAACAUCUGUAGCAGAAUUCAAGGACUCAAUAAAUAGCUAUAGUUGAACAGUAAUUUUACCUAAAACAUUAACCUAAUUAAUUGUAUAAUAUCACUAUCUUUUGAAGAUGCCUUUGGGGGUGAGGGGAGAGUGGGGAGAAAGAAAGAAGAAAGGAAAGAAAAGAAAACAGAAAAGAGUGACUUCUGAAACCUAGAAAGUUCGUCUCUUUGGGUGUUUUGUACUCUGUUUUUCACAUCCUCUGCGUUAUAUUUAACCUUUACUAAGUCAUCUUAACUCGUUCUGUCCUUCCUUGUCUAUGUUCACAGGUACUGUUUCUAAUGAAAUUUGGGCCAGGUGUAUCGAUACUCGUUUCUGUUCUUGUCAUACACUAGUUCCACUGUGGCUUUUAUAAGAAUCUGCAUUUUCUUUUAAGGUCUAAUUUUCCUCUUUAGCAGGUAUUUUCUUCGCAGGAAAUGACCUAAAUACUGAGAGGGUUAAACCUGGCCAUUUACCAACCUUCAUUUGAUCCCCUUGUCCCCUUCCUAUCCAGCUCCCACCCCUUCUGACCUGAAUUGGGGUUGGGACUGCGGCAUCUUCCAAUAGAGCUGCCUUCAUUUAGCUCAGCUACAGGGACCACUCCUAUAAGGGAGAAAACAAUAAAACAAUGAACCUCCCACUCCAAGUUUUCUGAGGAGAGAAUCUUUCCUUUGUAUCCUGCUGACAAAUCGAGUUUCUUCCUGAGGCAUACAAUUUCAUGCACAUUAACCACCAGAAGUGCCUGUCUCCCCUCAAGUUUCUGCUCUUCUCCCCAGCUCUUUGUUUCUUUCUUUUAGAACUGUGAAGCACAAGUUAUAUAUUCGCGCAAUCUCUCCUGGUGUUUUUGCUAAGAAAUAAAAGAAGGGUACAUACACAUCAUUUGGAGAACUCCUACACAACAGUGUUUGAUUAAAGCAAUCUAUAGCACUUAAGACUCUCCUGCUAUUCACAUUAGCCAUCCUUAUAGGGACAUGGAUAUUAUCUUUAUGAAAAGACAUGAAUAAGGAGCAUUACUGAAAAUUAAUAUUUAAAAUAAUUAUAUGAUUUUUAGUUUUGUCUCUUUAACAGUAAGAAAGAGGCACUAUUUUAGUAUUCAAAUUCCAACUUUUCAUAAAGUGAUAGAAUACUUUUAAGUAAUUACUUUUGCAAGUAAAGCUCAAAUUGAUGCAUAUUUUAAUGUAUACAUACUUUAGUGUUUAGUAUGUUAGUAAGUGGUUGUAUGUUUCUUACCUUGGUGUCCUGAAACUAGCCAAUAAAAUCAAAUUUUGAAAGUUAAGAAAUAGCAAAACCUAUUUCUGUUUCCAAUACCACAAUUCCUUUUCAGUCAUAUAGAAGAUAUUCAAUAAAUAUGCAUUGAGUGAUUUAAAAGAAAAUCAGGUCAAAUGGCUCCUCAAAAAAUAUUAUUGUUUAUCACUAGGAAAAAAAUUACAAGAAACCCUUGUCUGCCAAUUAGAUGUUAUUAAUUUAACUAAAAUAUUUAAAUAAAAAUAAGGAUCAUGAGAUACUAAUUUCACACAAAAAAAUGAUAUAAAAAAACCAAAUUACCCUUUCUUUCCUUCCAUACUUUUCUCACUAGCCGUAGCAAUUUGUUGUUUGUUGGUUUGUUUGUUUUUCUCACAAAGAAUUUUAUCAGUUUCUUAUACUUAAUAAUAGUGUACAGAGAUUUUGAAGGUGAUUAUAAUUAAACUUUAUCAAAAUUAUAAAGUACCUUUAUAGACAAGCAUAUCUUGUUUAUAAAGAGGAGCUACUAGUGGGAAUCAUCUCUUCUGUGCCCUCAUCCAAAGAUGCCUUUCUUAACCCUGGCUGCUUGCUUUGCUUGUGCGUGGAGAUUGUCCUUAAGUAGAUCCUUAUUUGCUCAGGAGACAUCUCAUUUUUACAGUCUUUCCUUUCUUGACUACUCACCACAUACCAGAUACUUAGGUAAAAACUGGGAAUGUUUAACUGAGAAAACAAAAUGAAAUAUUUGUGUUCACCAAGAGCUCGAGUAGGUACCACGAAGAAAGGAAAGAAGAAGAGAAGAAAAGAUUUUGUCUUUGAGGAGUUUACUCACACGAGGUCAAGGUCCCG